rnacentral:rRNA from 1 species
AGCAGCCGCGGUAAUUCCAGCUCCAAUAGCGUAUAUUAAAGUUGUUGCAGUUAAAAAGCUCGUAGUUGAAUUUCGGGAUCAAUACGUCGGUCGUGCUUCGGUACGUACUGGCGUCAUUGGUUUCUCCCUUCUGACGAACCAUGAUGUCAUUAACUUGGUGUCAUGGGAAAUCAGGACUGUUACUUUGAAAAAAAUUAGAGUGUUUAAAGCAGGCUCACGCUUGAAUACAUUAGCAUGGAAUAAUGAAAUAGGACGUUCGAUCCUAUUUUGUUGGUUUCUAGGAUUGACGUAAUGAUUAAUAGGGAUAGUUGGGGGCAUUAGUAUUCAAUUGUCAGAGGUGAAAUUCUUGGAUUUAUUGAAGACUAACUACUGCGAAAGCAUUUGCCAAGGAUGUUUUCACUAAUCAAGAACGAAAGUUAGGGGAUCGAAGACGAUCAGAUACCGUCGUAG